AAAGAGCGGCUGAGAUCUCAGGAGAGCUGUGCGUAAGUAAAAUGGUGGCAUACACGUAGUUUGUAUCAAAUCCACUGAGGUAAGUACAAGCCAAUAAUUGAAAAUUAAACAAAGUAAGGUUUAAACAUUAACAAUUGUCUCGUAUUUUACGAGGAAACAAGCUGGACAAGGAGACCUUGACGAACCUGUAGAGCUAGCUGGACAGGAGCUACAGCGACGUCCAGAAAUCCAUCAACCAAAAGGUAACCAGCCUGGACGCCUGUCUCGCCUUGUUAGAAGUCCUACAUAAAGAGGUUCAAGCCCUGAGAGAGUCGGAGGAAUACAGCCAGGGGCAUCUAGUCUCUAUUACCGCCACGAACAAAGCGCUGAGAGGGGAAGUCAUGAAGCUCACCGAGGGGAUGAUCCAGCUGCAUUCCGGAGCAGCAGGAGGAGGAUCCCGAGGUGACAAUCCCAGAGUUCCUCCAGAAGAAGCUGGAAAUCCUGGCGGAUCAG